rnacentral:tRNA from 1 species
CUUUAUAAUGGCGAAGGUUACAUCUCAUUCUUUUUCGCUGAAGAUGCGUCCUCUGCGGAGCAGGCCGGAAGUGCAACCUUUACUGUAGAGG